GAACUUCUUCCCGGCCAGGCACGGAGUCAAAUUACAAACUGAAGUGGGGAAGGAGGCCAAACGAAGAUCCACCUGGCUUGCUCCUUAUGUAGGAGUUUACUAGGGCUGCACCUGGGAUUGGCUUUCUCUGCCAGGCCUUUUCUAUUAUCUCUUUCAGCUGUAAGGAAAUUUAGAGGAAGAGUCAUAAAAGAAGUAUUUUUAAAAUCCUCUGUCACUCACCAGAAGAGGUUCACCAUCAGUUGAGAGCUCAUGUUAUGUCUCUGGGGAGGAAAGGUAGGUAAAGGAUACAGGAUUGGAAGGUAAGGAUCUAAGGUCCUAGCUUUUACUCCCCUAAUGACUUUGUGAUGCUGCGCACAUUUCCGACCUUUUUCUCUCUCUGUGGUUUUUUAAAUUUUCUUGAUAAUAUUAGAAGGUUCAGGCUCUUGCCAUAAGUAAAAAUGUUUUCUGUGGAUGUGUGUAUUUGCAUAUUUAUCACUGUCAAAAUAAUCAGUCUCUGAAAAUGCAAAAGAUUGGGUAGGAUUAUGUAACACAUUCUUAAAAUAUUAAAACCUGAGCAUGUUAAAGCAUCAAGUUAAAUAGUUGUUAACCUGUCUCACUAAUAAUCGCCUGCUUAGAUCCAGUCCGUGAGAGGAAAAGGAAGCGAUAAAUUUGACCUUCACUUACCGCAUGUUUUAAUUGCACAGUACUCCCAGCGGGUGUGAGGGUCAAGAGUAUAGCACCAUGGCCUCGGCUGGCCAUCGGGAUUGCGGCAAUAAUUAUCAUCAAAGCCCUUGUCGGGAUAUCUGCAAACCACACCAAGAAAAGUGUCACGUAAAUCUGCCUGGAAACACCACCCACCCCUCAGCUCACAAAAUAACUUUCCACUUAGGUUGUCUACACCUAGCUGGGGAAAGAGGACAUUUUCUAUGUUUUGCCUUACGAGGACUGCUGAUCACUGACUACUGAAUCUACUAAUUUAUAUAUCCCACUAAGGAUAGAGUAUCACCUCCUGGCUAAUAAGUUAGGUCCAUGUGGUACCUUCCCACUAGCUGAGGUUCCAAAUGGAGUCUCUUUCUCCUAGAACCCAGUUAAGGGGAGAUUACAAAAACACGACUUCAUGUAGAAUGCUCAUUAAGAAAACAGGUCCUCUUCUAGGGAAGGCUUAAAGUUCAAACUGAAAUUUCGGUUUCAAUGGUGCUGUUACUAAUGACAGCUCAGUUUUGGAAAUAGAGCCCUUCGAGGUCAUGCCCUCACCUUCACCAGAUCAUGAGACAAACUUCAUCACACCACUUUCUCCACACCCCACCUCCCUUCAAAUGAACAGAGUCCUGAAUUGGUGACUUGAUUUUAAUUGCUACCAUAUCCCUUCUGCUCUCACUUAAAUGACAAGACAAGCAUUUAUUUGGAAAAUAAGCUGGAGUUUUAAUUUCAUUAAAAAUAACAACAAACAAAAAAGAAUAGAGAAAAAGAACAAAGAAAAAACACCUAACAGCAAUUUCCAAAGAAAGGUGGGGGACGGAAUUUCCUGUGUAAUUAUUUGUAUUUUUAUUCUUUAUAAUCAAACUAAAUGAACGUCUUCCUUUUUUUUUUUUUUUUACCUUAAAAGUUUCAUGUAAAAUACAUGGGCAAAAGUAGACAUGAUUUUUUUUUUUUUUGGCGGGGGUAGGUAAUGAUUUAAGCUCAAAACCUACUCCUGGGGAUAAAAGAUAGAUUUAGUUGCCUGACUUCUCCAAAUUGGCUUUUUAUAUGGGCAAUUUCAAAACACACCAGGACAAAGCAACCUGAAUGGUUUGCUCUACUUUUUACUCCCUAUGAGCACUACUUAUGUCAUGCUGUUAUGCGUGUGGCCUGCAGUACCUGAGUCUCUGAAGAUGCUCCAGAAAGAGAUUUGCCUGCAAUUAGUAACAAUACCUCUACUCACAGCUAAGACUUGUCAAAGUGGUCAUUACUGAAUUGGCCCUCUGGUUUGCUUUGGUUUUGUUUUGUUUCUGCUCUGAGAGAGAAAGAAGCUUCUUUUAGUGCUUCCACUCCAUACCCUGCUGAUGAUUUUGUGUUCAGUACCAUGCUGAUUUUAGAAACCCUGACCAGUUGACUAUGUAGUCAGUGUUCUCAUAUACCUCAUCAUGAAUCUUUUUGCCCUUAUACUAUUUCCUCCAAAUAUAAUGGCCAGAAAUUCUGUCAGAAGAACUCCUGAACAUUCUGGGAGUUCUAAAUGUUAUGUUCAUGCCCUAUCGGGAAAACAUAAUAUAAAGAGAAUUUCCACAGCGGUGUGUCAUAGAGUGAAUAAUAGUUUGUAAAAGAAUCACUGAAAGCAUGAUUCAUUAAUAUUUUACCUUUCAGGCAAGAAUUUGUGCCGGUGUGGUGUCUGAUGAUCCCAGCGCUGACAAAUCUUGCCUGAUUCUGUAUGAUCCAUGAGACCUCGAUAACUUUCCCCAUUGCAGGUCAUGCAUUCAACUAAUAAAAUUAAAGUAUGGCAUGUUAAUUGUUUCUGACAACAAAAUAAAAAACACGACUGUUCCAUUUAAAGAACAGUACCUGUUUAGUAAACAGAUUUUUUAAAAAUCCUACACAUCAUUCUAACUUUUUAUUAGGACCUAAUGUCCAUAAAUAGUGACAUAAGCUACUCCCCAUAGAACACAUCAUACAAUUUAAGUGGGAUUUUUGUACUUAGUGUCACACAGAUUUACUAUAGGGCCACGAAGCUGUCUAUCUAUUGUUUCAAUAACUGUCUCAAAGGUAUCUAGAAAAUGGAAAUAAAAGACAGAUCCUUGGAAAUUUUUCCUGUGUUGGUCUAAAAUGCAAAGAUCUCAGUAUCUAUUUGUCAGCACAAUAGUGUUUUUCUCUCAAUUUGCCCUCCAAACACAUACACAGGAAAUACAAAGUUUAAUUGAGUUUGUGUCAUACUUUUAUGGUUAAUGACAUAAUCAAGACCACAUAGACUUAAGAGAUCGGCUUCAUAUAGAAAUCUAGUGCAAUUCAAAGAAUAUGGAUAUUUUUAAAAAAUAAAUCACAGCUCCUUUCUGUUAGCGAACAUCCAUGUUGAAUAGGCUGGGCAGGUUUACAUUCCUAUCUGGCUUAGGAUAGAAGAUGACCUGCUAUUGAACUCCGUGUUCCCACUCUUUUUAAAAUGUAUAAGCUAACGUAAUUAGGUAGGAUCUUACUGGUGAUUUUGUGAGGUUAAUUCAUUGUUCUCUUCUGGCUGGCCUCUUAUGUCACACUGAAAACUGAAUCACAUCAAUUGCUGAAAGUGAGACUUCUCAAACAGACAGGUUGAUUUAUAGCACAGAAAGCAUCCUGUGGAAUAAAUCAUUGCUUGGCUUUCCUAUGAAUCAGGCAAACUUCCUUAAACACAUCAUUUGUAUCUUGGAAUUACUGAUCAUCUAACUUUAGCUGAAGUGGGAAGAGGCAUCAAUGUUUAGUUUUAUCCAACGGAAUCUAGCCUAAUGAGUAUUUGUAGUAAUUUGGGAUUAUAGUAUUAGAAUCAUGACUUUUGAAUCCUUGAUUCUUAUAAUCUAAUAGGGACAUUAACUAUUAACUUUCUGAAACAUGCAACAACUUGGCUUGAUCCAUCUACUUUCCUUCAUUUAUAUUAAUACAUUAGCUAAGAGGCCAACUCAGCUUCCCUUCAUUUGAUACUGAGAUUUUCCAUACUACACCCAAUAAGCACCUGAACUGUAAAUGAGUGGAGUCCAUGAGCAUAUCAACAAAGGUGUUCAGGUUGGCCAGGGUCAUAGCAGUGCUCAACAUAGGUGAUGCAGUGUUACAUUUCAGCUAAUGUUACAUUUCAGCUUUCCAUUUGAAUGCUUAACAGGUUCAUUUAGUUAUCUCUCUUUUUUUUUAAAGAACACAAAUUUUGAUACUGUCAAAGAAAAUAAUGCAGCAUUUAUCAUUAUUUGUUCCUUCGUGUUGGAUGAAAUGUACAAUAGAGUACUAGGGUCACAUAUAAAAGAUAAGUAUUCACAUAUACAAUUUCUACUCUUGUAUAGUACUCAGGAAAGAGAUUACAUCUAUUACGCCUCCUUCAGCAAAUGCAGCUUGUGAUAGUAUAUUCCUUUCUAAUGAGAGUGAAUAGAAUUAUUUCCUGGUAAUCACUACAUUGAGCAGUAUUAUAAAAAUUUUUCCUUGACUUACACAUUUUAAUGGUUUUAAGAAAAAAUAGCUACAUGAAUGAAACAGAUGGUUCCAUAAGAUGACCACUUUCCAUUAUGAGUGUGGCAGAUCAAUGCUUGUUCAAAUAUGAAUGUGCGUAAAAACCACCUUGAAAUCCCGUUAUGAGGCAAGUUCUGAGUCAGUGGGUCUGGGCUGGGGCACUAAUAACAAGCUCCCAGGGGUUGCUGCUGCCUCUGGUACUUGGACCUCACUUUGCUUUGCAACUUUCUAGAUAACAGGAUCUAUUAUAAAAGUUCCGGGGCCGGGCGUGGUGGCUCACGCUUGUAAUCCCAGCACUUUGGGAGGCCGAGGCGGGCGGAUCACGAGGUCAGGAGAUUGACACCACGGUGAAACCCCGUCUCUACUAAAAAUACAAAAAAUUAGCCGGGCGUGGUGGCGGGCGCCUGUAGUCCCAGCUACUCGGAGAGGCUGAGGCAGGAGAAUGGCGUGAACCCGGGAGGCGGAGCUUGCAGUGAGCCGAGAUCGCGCCACUGCACUCCAGCCUGGAUGACAGAGCGAGACUCCGUCUCAAAAACAAAACAAACAAACAAAAAGUUCUGGCCGGGCGCGGUGGCUCACGCCUGUAAUCCCAGCACUUUGGGAGGCCAAGAUGGGCGGAUCAUGAGGUCAGGAGAUCGAGACCAUCCUGGCUAACACGGUGAAAGCCCAUCUCUACUAAAAAUAUAAAAAAAUUAGUCGGGCGUGGUGGUGGGCGCCUGUAGUCCCAGUUACUCGGGAGGCUGAGGCAGGAGAAUGGUGUGAACCCAGGAGAUGGAGCUUGCAGUGAGCCGAGAUGGCACCACUGCACUCCAGCCUCCACGACAGAGUGAGACUCCGUCUCAAAAAAAAAAAAAAAAAAAAAAGUUCUAAGUAUUUGGCAGUAAUAGUUUUUUAGGAGAGACUAGAUUUUACUAGGACCUUGAAUAGAUGAGAGUUGGAUAAAUUAUAAAGGGACAAAAUAACAUAAAAUUAGAAGCAUAAGUAUGCUAUGUUGAUAGUAAAGUGAAGAGAGAGUUAAGACUGCAGUUGUGGGCCUAAAAAUAAAUAAAUAAAAGUUAGCAAGAAUAAUGUUACAUUUUAGAAAGCAAUGAAAGUUAUUGUUGGGGUGGGAAUUAAACAUGCCAUGAUUGAAUUGAGAUACUUAAAUAUAUUAUAGUUACAUAUUAUUUGAUUGUUUAUACCAUACUUUUAACAUAAAAGGUAUCAACCAGGCACGGUGGCUCAAGCCUGUAAUCCUAGCACUUUGGGAGGCUAAGGCAGGCAGAUUGCCUGAGGUCAGGAGUUUGAGACCAGCUUGGGCAUGGUGGUGCAUGCCUGUAGUCCCAGCUACUUGGGAGGCUGAGGCAGGAGAAUUGCUUGAACCCAGGAGGUGGAGGCUGCACUGAGCCGAGAUGGCGCCACUGCACCACUCCAGCCUGGGUGACAGAGCAAGACUCUGUCUAAAAAACAAAAAACAAAAACAAACAAACAAACAUGAAAGCUAUCAUCUGAUUCUUACAGUGAGGAAAACAAGGCUCACAAAAGUUUUAAGAGACUUACCUAAAACACAAAAUGUUAAACCUGAGCCUGGAACACAAAUCUUCUGACCCAUAGUCUUAAUUUUUUUGCAUUAUCCCAAACUGCCUUUUUGUUUUACAUAUUUUAACUUAUUUCCUACAUAUUCUAACCAGUUAUACUUUAUGAUAUACUGAUAGCAAUAACUUUAGAAAGUUGUUAUCCCUACCCUUUUCAACGUUGUCCUCAUUGCCCUCUGCUUUUUUGUUUACAACAGUUAACUUGCUCUCCUGUUGCAGUCUCAUCUAUUGGAGCAUUGUAGGGAAAGUGCAUAGGAAUGUAACUAGAUUGGACACCUUAUCCAAAGUCAAUGGCUGAAAAGUUGGCUGUUUUCCCACGGAAUCAAACCAUCAAGUUAGUCAUAAGAAUUAUCUCAAGAAAGCCAAAUUUUUAACUCAUAUUCACUUUUCAAACUUUGGGAAUUCUCAGAUUCUUCUAAAUUUUAUUAAAGUCAAGCAGUUCAGGUGAAACCAUAUGUACUCAAGGAAACAGGUGAACAUAUAAACGAUGUAACAGUUUAUAUGUAGGAAUGCCCUUUGGCUCUUUUUAUUGCUGUCAGUACAUUAUUUAACUGCUCCAGCAAGUUCUCCUCUUAAAACAAAACAAAACAAAAAGCUAACUACUGCCCUAGAUAGAUCACAUAGAUCACAAAAACUCACAGAGUAAUGGUUUCUGUUCAUCAGUUCAAUAUUUGUUCUAAGUACAGUUCUGGACUGAAUAAUAGUAGAAUACUAUAAAAACUGUGUAUAAAUUAGAAAAUACAGAGGAUUAAUUUAGCAGCUUUCUCAUCAUACUAACUAACCAAACUUUAAAAAUGUUUUUCAUUUUUCUCAGUCAUAAAACAGGAGUGAUAUGAGUAUACAGACUAAAACAGUUAUUCUGAAAGUAUCUGAAUCUAUUUUUAACUAGUGUUUGUUUUAUUCCAUUAAAGACAAUCUCAGAAAAAUCCACGCAGGUGAUUACUUCAACAAAAUUGAAUGUUUAAAAUAUAAAUAGUCUCACAAAUUUACACAUAUAAAUAAAGGUUUUACAAAUAAAUUAUAAGUUGCCAUUUAAUCUUUGUAACUUGCCAUUUAAUCUUUGUUUUUAAAAGUCUUCACAUAGAGUAUCGAAUUAUACACAUAAACUUAUGUCAGUAUUAUUUGGGAUUUUAAAUGUAAUGUGUUUUUAAAAAUAAUGAUUAUGGCUUAAUUAAAAUAUAUUUACUUGAUCAUUUGACAGUCAUUAGAAAUGACAUCUGUUCCAAUGACUAAUGAUUAUUUUAUUUUAAAUUUCAAGCAAACGCUAAAGCAAGAAAUUGGAUUUUACAUAACUCAACUUUCUAAAACUUUUGAAUCAAGCACUAAUUAUUUUCUCUGUAUAACUCUAUAGGGUUCUUUUUUAAAAUUGUCCAUUAAAAGUGUACAUAUUUAUCAUGUACAACAUGAUGUUUUGAAGCAUAUAUACAUUGUCAGUGGACUAAAUCAAACUAGUUAACAUAUGCAUUACUUCACAUAGCAAUUUUGUGGUAAGAACAUUUAACAUCUAGUCUCUUAGCAUUUUUUAAGUAUACAAUAUAAUAUUAUUAGCUAUAGUCAUCAUUCACACAACAGAUCUAUUGAACUUACUCCUCUUAUCUAACUGGAAGGUGAUAAAUGUGAUAAAAGAAUAUUUGUUUUCUUUUGGAAUAUUUACUAUAUUUUAAAGUUUUAAAUUAUAAGAAAAUAAUAUUAAUCAUUGACUAUCAGAUACAAUUCUUUUAAUUUUAAACAAAUUUCAGGUGAUUAUAUAGCCAAGUUUUAAGCAUAGUUACAAAAAUUUCAAAAAAUAUAUACUGUUCUAUAUGUCUUUUUCAUUUGAACAGUCUAAAGUUUGAUCACGGGUGUUUUUCCUUGUUUAAUUUUAAAUACGCAAAAUAAUUUUAUAGUUGCUACCUUAGCCAUAAUAAAAUAACCUUUACAACUUACCAUUUAAUUUGUAUCCAUGGAUGGAAGUGGCCCAUCUAUUAUACAACUUAAGCAUUCUGAAUUUUGAGGUUUCCCCCUUAUAUGUAUUUUAGAAGAAAUUUAAAUCAUGUCACAUUAUUUUGUAUAUUUUAUAUUAUUGAUUUUAUAAGUCACUCUUUUCCUCUGCCAAUAUUUUGACAAUGCUUCUUAUUUUGGAUCUUUUUCAUUAAAACCCUGCUAACACAUUGCUUGUGUUAGCUUGAAUUUAAAAUAUCACAGUUUAACUCAUACUCUCUGAAAUAUGUUUAACCUACAGGGCAGAUGUUGGUUCCCUUCUCCCACAGGAGAGUUAUUCCACUAUUGCCAGGCCACUAAUUAUUUCCAGAAAGAACGUAUCUGCAACCUUUAGUGCCGUGGUGACCAAUAGCAGCAUGCGCCAUUAAUACCAGUGAGCAGUGCCCUUUUCUAAGGGAGAUGUGAUGACCUCAAAUUAUUAAAGAUACUAGAGAGUUACAUUCUAAUGAGAUAAGAAUAACUGAAAAUAGGAUUUAUUCAAGGACUUCUUUUCUAGCACUUUUAAUCUAUGUCACCUAGCAGUCCAGUCCUAUGUAAGUAAGUAUAUUUUGACGACUGUAUUUCUUAUAAACCCGGAGUUGAAAAAUCAUAUUCUCACAAGAACCAGGCAGGUAACGAAAAUAGUAAGCUGUUUAAAGUUUGGCCAAGGUACUGGCCUUUGAAAACACGUUUUCAGGUCAAACAAAACCCCUUGCCAAUGAUUUUCAACCUCAGAAAACUGUAAUAGGAGAGAUUCCCCUAAAAGUAGGGUUUUUUUUCUUCCAUGUGCAAGUUUAAGACAAAUAUUAAUUCAUUCAGACUUAUUCAUACAAAACAGACUUGUUCAUAACGUGAUCAUAGAAAAGUUUAUUAUUUUUAAAAGAAAAGAAAACAAUGAAGAGGUUAUAGGGAACAGAAUAUGAUAUGGAAUGGAAAGUAAGAAUUUACAAACAGAGAUGGAACUGGCUCUAGCACAUAAAGUCAAGGAUUUCAAAUUCACUAACAACAGAAAACAAAUCCUUCUCUGUGACAAUUAGCUAACAGUAGCCUUUACUUUUUAUGUGAUAAAUAUCAACCUAAUAUUAAAUGAAUAUUUAUGGAGGAAAUAUUUUUUAAAAUAUUUGGUUAAUAACAAACAGGUAAGAUAUCUUAGUAUAAAACUUGGACAGCAUUCCCGUAGUCCCCCUCCCCAAAUACUCCAAAAUCCUAAUAAUUUUCUAACAGAGUUUCAUCCAUGUUUCACUUAGAUUUUUGGAAAUUUAGAGUUUCUGACAGAACUGAAAAAUCCAGCUAUUCAGUAGCCAGAUAACUAAGAAAAAUGAAACCACAUACAAUGCUGAAAUGGUUACUCUUCCAUCUUGUCAGCCAUUCAGUUUUCCACUGCAAAAGUAAAGACAAUGCCCUUUUAUGCUGUGAGAAGAGCUGAAAACACAGACAUGGAUUUAAGGUGCCUGCCUUCAAGACAGUUUGGGCUCCAUUGCUUUGAUCUCUUCAGAUCCUAUUCUGAAUGGUACUCAGUUCCAGUCUAUGUGUCACAUUUGAUUCUAGGCACAUUUUCACCAAAACGUGCAUGGGGUCAAGAUUCCAGUGAUCCCUUCUUAUAUUGUAUUCUCUUCUGGGUCCAUAUACCCUUGUCACACCACUUCAGAAUAGUUUGGACAAAAUUUCUGUGGAAGCAGGUGCUGGUUGAAUAGAAUUAACAUUGCUAAUGAAAGGCUAAGCUUCAUUCAACUCCUUUCAGGUGCCACACAGUAAGUAGAUUUUGAGGUAUGUGAGCUCAAGACAGUAGGUAAGUAAACCCUCUCUUUCACUUUCCCCAGAGGGAUGUCUCAGGCAGUGUUGAAAUUCAAACUGAUAACUCGCUCUGUUAUUUUGCAUUAAUCUGGUGAUAAUCCAACAGUUUUAAAAACAUUGUAUAAAAAUGUUUAAAUAAUUAUUUGUAGUUGCAUUUGCAUGAACAACAUAUUUAUUAUGAUUGAUUCGUUGCUGUUAACCUUCAAUGUGAGUUACAGUUCGACACAUAGGGGGAACAGAAUGGCCCACAUGGCAUUCAGGUUUAUUUACCUUCUGAACACUGAGGAAUGUCACAGACUUCGAAGCGUACCUCUGGAUUGCUUGUGAAACACCAGGGUCCCCCUUCUUCCCCUCGAGGAUUUCGACAGUAGUUUUCCUGUAGGUCUUUACCCCGAUAGCUCGAAGGCAAAAAGCUAGUUUUAAAAUGAUAAUCAUUACAGUAUAAGAGCAUGCAACUUUUUUUGCCUAUUAAUUUUACUAAUUAGUGGGUAUGUUUUUGCUGAAAGUAGAAAAAUCCUUUAUCUUAUAUUCCUUCAUAUAUUUUAACUUAAAAUUCUGUCAUUUCCAUCUGUCCUUAAAACGUUUGAAUUUUAUUAACAUCAUUUAGCUGAAUUUCCAUAUUCACCAUCAAGUUAGAAAGAUGAGCCUGUUAAUUUGCUAAGAGUCAAACAUUCUAGAACUUAAUCGAUGUUGUUUGAAACAUAAUUUCAAAGCGCCACUAAAAGAUAGCAGGUGAUUGAGCAAGGCCACUUAGGAGAGAACUGAGAAAUCGCUGCCACUGAUUUUGAAAUCUCAUUAUUUCUUGCAUUACUUAUUUGAGAUCAUUACUUGUUUGUUUAUUGCUUUUCUUAUAAAUAGCCCCCUUUUUCCUGCACAAUUGAGAAACAGAUUCAUGAAGUAACAUGAAUAAAGAACCCAGAAUCCAAUUAAAUCUGGGCUGAAACUUCAGCUCACUUUCUUACUGUGAGACCCCAGCAAGUAAUUUAGCUUCUCUCAGCCUAUUAGCUUACCUGUGCACUGAGUGUAACCAUAACCUUUAACAUCUUACACCUUAUAUGGUUAUUUUGAGAAGCUCCAAGGGAUAAUAGAGUAAUUGACACUUAACAAAUGCUACCUCUUAUUAAGCACACUCCACUUCGUAGUCUGUAUCUACUGUGUCCUAAUAAAGAACAGAAUUGCUUAUUCUCUUCAAUAAUUUUGAUCAUUUUGACUGACUGGAGCUUAGUAAUCCCAGUUUUGGUUUAUAAUAGUAAGCCAUUGAGUGCAGUAACUGCAACACAUUAUCUUCACUUAAAAUUUCUAGUGCCCUACUCUUACUGUUAUUACCAGCAUAAAGUAUUUUAACACAUUAGAAAAGGCCAAGUCUUUUUGAUACUUUUGUAGUGCUUGUGAUAUUGGACUCAACAAUUAGAUAUUGCAUUUGUCUGCCAGACUUUACACAAAAGAUCAUAAUAAAGAAUAUACAUCUACAGGUAAUACCAGUAAACAUUUCUUUGAAAAUCCAGUUACAUUUUUAAUAUUCAGUUUGCAUUCUGUGAACAGGCUUUAUUUCUACUUUUACUGAGACCUUAAGUUCUAAAUGGCACUAAAAUUACAGUGAAGUCCAAGGAUUUUAGUCUCUUAGUAAAUACCAUUCAAAUGUGCUUCCUACCCAAUGAAACUUCUAAUAAACCAUCAUUUUUCAUGUUGUGACACAAAACAAAUACAGGUAUGCGUCAUGUACCAAGCAGUAUUUUGCAAUGAAACUCUUUCAUUUUGACAUGAGUGUAUUCUAGAGUUGUCUUCAGAAAAUAUAAAUUAUUGGACAAAACAAAUAGUAUAAGAGACUUAUUGAUAACUAAACAUUUUCAGGGAACCAAUGAAACAUUAUCCAUAUUAUGCAACUUCAGUGCAUCUAAAUAGUUAAUAUCCAUACUUCACUAGCAUUCUUCAUAUGGGGAAAUAGAAAUAAGACAGGUUGUCAGACCGUAUGACUGAUAAAAAUUUUAAUGCAACUAAAAUUCAGCAUAAUUUCACAAUUCCUAACAGUAAACUUUUUUAAAAAGUCAUUUUUCUGACUUUUAGCUCCAUCAUUCCAGAAUAUUUUAAUGCAUCUUUUGUUUGGGCCAUGGCUUACUCACUUUUCUGACAGAAUCAGAUGUGACUUUUGCUUUAUAUGUUUUCAAGAAGUCAUGCACUAAUCAAAUUUAUUUAAGCAAAGUAUACUAUAGCUCUCUUUUACGGAAAAGUUGAUAUGGUAGAGUGGUGAGAAGUUUAUUUGUUAAUCACAAAACCCAUAAGGUUGCCCCAUAUCUAUCAUCUAAAUAGUAUACAACCUUAGUCCUUAGACAAUUCAUUUACUCCCUGGGUUUUAAUUUCUUCACUUAGAUGAAUAAUAUGAACUAUAAUUUCCCUUUCUCUGUAUCAUUUUAUAUAUUAAGAUUAUUUAAGAAACCUAGUAGCUAUAGCAAAUGCUCAGUACACAAAUACUCAAUCUUUAUAGUCUGGAGAGGAUUUUUGUCCCCUCUACAUAUGCACACCGAAAUACACAAAGUGAUACACCCAUAUACCUUUCCAGUGGAUUUGUAAAGCCAAAAAAAGGCUGCAAAGAAGUAGUGAAUUAGUAAGUCAACAAUUUAUUAGGAAAAAUACAGGUAGAAAGGAAGAGAGAAUAAUGUAGAAAUCAAAAGUAGAUAUGGCCAAAAGAUGAAUAAAAUUCCCCCAUUGGAGUUAAUAAAAUUAAAAUGAAGAGAAAAGAUGGGCUCAUUUCCACCAUUCUGAAUCAAUCCAUAUCAAAAACCUCUCUAGGACAUGAAGGUGAAAUAGCAGUCUGGGUCAUCUCUUUUCUUCAUUCUAUGGUGUAUUUUAUCUUUUACCUAAAUUAACUGUUUUUUUUGUUAGUGUCCCAAUGUAUUUCUCCUGCUUUUCUUUAGCACCCCAUAUUUGACCAAGGGAUGAAGCCUCGCCAUGCUCUUUCACUUAUGUGUGUUCAUUCAACAAGUGUUUAUGAGAACCCAUUACACACAAAGCAUGUGCCAGUCAGCAGAUUCUGUAAUAAGCAUUUAUUCAUAUAUACACUAUUUUUGGUUCUCUGUCCUUGCUGUUGGCGAGGCUUUAAGAAAGAUAAGUGAGGAAAUGUUUAAAAUUGGGUUACAUCCAAAUAUACUUUGAAAUAUAAACUAGGGUCUUCUAGGUGCUAGACUCCCUUUGUUUUCUUUUAAUAUUCACUGUGUUCCUAGGAAACUUGAUCUAUUCCAUCAUCUGAUUCAUUAAUGAAUGCUGGGUGCCCAAUGAAGGAUACAGAUGUAGAUAUCAGGUCACCUGAUUUUCUAGUUAAGCUUCUACACUAAUUUCAUCAUCUAUCAUCAUCUUUCCAUUAAGCCACUUGUAAAAUAUUUCAAUUUAGGGGUCAACAAUAAAUCAUUCCUCCAGACAGAAACAUAUUUCUUUUUCUAUUUUCUGUAAAAUUAAUCUUUAGUCAACACUUAAAAGUGUUAAACCAUCAUGCAGCUAUUCCAAUAAGCUGCUAAUUGAUGAAAAUUAUGUGUUUCCCUCACUGAAUACAAAAAGGGAUUUUAUUAAUAUACUGGAUCCUCUCAGCCAUAAACAUCUAUAUCACAAGGAAGUGUUCAUUGGUAAAAGAGCUGAUCGGACUGGGAAGCCAGUUCCCACAGAGAUCUAUUUCACAUUUACUCCUCCAGCAGAGAAUCACAAUCAUAGAAAACUCUGGGUGAAAUAAGACCUCUAUUAGGUCAAUCUAAUGCAUUCUCCUGGACUAGGGUAGGAUUGAUUUCAAAUGUUAUUCCUCUGUUCAUGAAAAACUUAGAUCCAUCUACUUAAAUAAAAUGUUUUCUUCACUAUGCAGGGAGUAACACCAUGCAAACUCUCAGGAGAGGACAAAACCAAUCAUAAUUUUUGUUUUUGUCAUAUAAGGAAAAUACUGUGUUUUAGAGGCGUUUCUACAUAAUCUGACGUACUAUCUCAAAGACGGAAAGAGGAAGAAGAAUCGUCUUAAACGAAGUUUACGUUAUGAUUUCACAAAUACCGAGAUCUACAAAUUGAGGCAUUAAGGAGUGGCUCUUUGUAUCUCUCUCUCACUGAAGAUGAUGGGUUUACCCUCUCCAUCUUCUCCUUCCUCCUCUACUGUGGCCUGGGGUUAGGGGUAAGGAGGAGAGAAGCAAUGAAAAGUAGGGCAGGCCUACCUGUCUGCAAGGAACAUUGCCUGGAGUUUUCAUUACUGCAUGACAAGCUCCCCUAAGGACCAAGCCACAAACUAGGAGACUUGGCAGAUAAUUGGAAAAGUUAAGAACAUCAUGAGAAGAAGAAAGAAGACAAUAAGAGACCAGGGUCAGAAGACUUCAGAACACUGGAAAGGGAUUCUAAUCGAGCCAAACAUUAACAAUUAUUAACAUUAACAAUUCGAUUGAGCUAAACAUCAGUAGGAAAAGGAAAUAAAUGUUUGGUAUCAUUCAACAAUAUCUAGAUUUCACCAGUAUCCUUUUUUUUAACUUUUAAGUUCAGGGGUACAUGUGCAGGUUUGUUAUAUAGGUAAACUUGGGUCAUGGGAGUUUGUUGUACAGAUGAUUUCGCCACCCAGGUGUUCAUUCGCUUUAUGUAGUCUGUCACUGAUGGACAUUUAGGGUGAUUCCAUGUCUUUGCUAUUGUGACUAGUACUGCAACGAACAUAUGCGUGCAUGUAUCAUUUGUCAUCUGAAAUGACUGUCUUCUUUCAAGUAGAAAACUAUACCUCAAUAUCCUGCCAAAUAUUAAAGAUAAAGCUAAGAGUUUAGCUUACAUUGUCUACAUUUUUUUCUAACAACUAGUCCAAUAAUCAAAGUAGUAUCAUAAACUUCAAAUUCUGUCCAGUCCUCACCUUAAUUUUGCAAAAAGCAUCAGUGGUACCUGUGAAAUGCCCAAAGGGGGGAAAAAUGUUUAUUCUAUCUCCUCCCUAAUUUCACACUUGAUUUUUCUUCCCAAUUUGAUUUGAAAAUUGCUCCACUUUUAUUCACGCAACAAACUUUUAUUGGAUAACUACCAUAAUUCAGACACAGUUAGGUAAUGGUUUAUCUGCCUGUUAAAGCUUUGCCACUUGAUGAGUUCAUAAAAAAAUUUUACCUCCCAGACUGUUUGACGUGUCUAUAAUUUUACUAAAGGUCUCUUUACUUGCUCUCAUGUCUUACUUCUUUGGUCCAAAAAUUAGCUGGGGGCAGUGUCUCACAGGUGUAAUCCUAGCACUUUGGGAGGCCAAGGCAGGUGGAUUAUCUGAGAUCAGGAAUUUGAGACCAGUUGACCAACAUGGUGAAACCCCCGUCUCUACUGAAAAUACAAAAAUCAGCCGGGCAUGGUGGUGUGUACCUGUAGUCCUAGCUACUCGGGAGGCUGAGGCAGGAGAAUUGCUAGAACCCAGGAGGUGGAGGUUUCACUGAGCCAAGAUCGUGCCACUGCACUCCAGCCUGGGUGACAAGAACUGCACUCCAGCCUGGGCAACAAGAGCAAAACUCCUUCUCAAGGAAAACAAACAAACAAUUAAACAUCUACUUUAUAUUUUAAAAUGUAGGCCAGGAUUUACUUACUGUCUUAAGCCUUCUUUCCCUUCCCACCCCUUUAGAAUACUGGACACCACUUCCUUUGUGCUCUGAAUAAGCUCAUCUGUAUUUCUAUAAUACCUAUGUUAUAUAAAUAUACCUUUAAAUAUCCAUAACAGACAUUAUAUUUUAUGUUCCUAGCUACUUUUUGGAAAAUUACUUCUUCCCAUUUUCAUCUCUGUAGUUCAGGUGGAACUGACUUCACCUCGCUGUUUGCAGGAUAGACACAUGACCCAGACCAAAGCCAAUCAUAAAACUCACAUAAAAAUGAUCUAAGAGGUAAAAACCAGAUUUCAUUUUGAAAUUGAUAUGAAUGCUUGAAAAUAAAAGGUCUCUUUUCUGAAAUUUUAAUUGCUAAGCAUUGUGUAAAAUCGAGGGUCGUAUACGCCACCAUUUGUUGGUGGCAAGCCUGAGAGUGAAAUCAUUAGGGUAACAAGCAACCAAGAAGUAAAGAGGUAGAGAAUGUGUCCUAAAACUAUUUGAGUUCCUGGAUCUGGCUGUGGCUGAAGCCAUUUGUACUCCCAGAUAUUUAGAUGUUCUUGCUAAUGAACAUUAUUGUGAUUAAACUAGUUUAGACUGAAUUUUCAUCAUUUGCAAGCAGAAAAGCCUGCAGUAAUACAUCAUGUCUGUUGCUGUAACUAUACUAUUUGGUCUAAAUUGCCUCUUCUAGUGUAUGAGAGAACUUGGAACAAAUUGAGUACUCUUUUGGUUUACUGAUUAAAGAAUGAAUAUGAAUGAAUAAAAUAAAUACAUGGAAGAAUAUAGAAAAAAGGUAAAUUUCUUGUUGUAGUCCCAGUAUACCAACAAUUUGGUGCCCUUGUUCCAAAACAAACAAACAGAAAUGCACAAUGAAAAAACUGAUUAAUUAUUUCCAAGUUAUUGUACUGCACUGUGCUGGUCACAGUGGAUCACGAUCCCUUGAAAAAUCCUUUAGAUGGCUUACUCAGGUUGAAUGGAUUUAGGAAAUAUCUCAGGAUAACCAAGCCCUUUAUUUACUUCUUAACACCAAAUGAUAUCCUCCAGGUCCUAAAGUUAUUUUAAAUGGCACAUGAGAUGGCGUCUCUGUCUGUUCUCUUGAGAUCAGGUUUCAUGGUCUAAUCAGACUCACCAUUAACAAUCUUCCCCUGGACAGGAACAGAGUUAAUAUAGUGUGAUGAGAGAGUGUUGGCCGGUGGCUCAAGCAGCUCUGCAAGUCUGCACAUGUGGAUUUUAUUUUCAAACCUAUGAUUGAUUUACUUUCAGACUGUGGCAAACCCUCCACUCUCCCACAUGAUGCUUAUCAACAAAUGGUGUCUGCUUAACUCAUUUAUUGAGAAAAUGUAACUGCAUUUCAGAAAUUUAAAAUUAUUUCCCAUGGACAAUUUUUGUUUCUCUUACCACAGUGUAGUUCUGCAUGUGUAAUACACUACCUGAACAAAUAGUUACAUUAAGACAUGUUUUUUAAAAUUUUGAAAGUUCAACAUUUCCUCUUAAUGAAGAUAUUGACCUGUGUUUACAAUUUGAUAUUCUUCUUAUCUCGAUUUAUGUUACUUAUAGCUGUAAAAAUAAUCGCUCUGAAGAUCCAUUGUUUUUGAACAUUCUCCAAGUAGUUUCCUAUGGAUUGUAAACUACUCAAAUAGGGAUGAAUGAAUAUUGAACAUACAUUUGUUGAUUUGACUUAAUGACAUUUGAAUUUGAUACAAUAAUCAUCAGUUCACAUAUUCAUAUAAGGUGAUAUAUAUGUGUGUAUCAUUUCCAAAUGCAAACUGCUAGAAGAAGGGAGUAUAUAUACAUUUGGAACUCAUUUUUCUUUUGAUGGUAUACAAAUUCGAGUUAGCUUGUGUUGGAAAGAAAUGGCAGGGUUCGUGAAAAACAGAGUUUCUGAAUUAUUGCUGUACCUUAAAGUCAAGAGCUAGGAUAGAUGACUUUGAGGGAUACUUUAGAAGUCAUUUUAUUAUUUGAAAACCAAUAUUAGAUAACAUAAGAAAUCAUAUAAGACGCUAUCAUCCAUAAAUUUUCUUUAAAUUAUUUUUAAAUGUACUUGGUGUAUGGAUUUGUGGUUAGAGUUAUGCUGACCUACUUAGUUCCAUGUUAUAGAACACAUGAAAUAAUAUCAGCACUGUCUGUUUCUUCAAAGACUGAAAAAGAAAAGUUACUGGGAAAUCAUCUCAGCCUGGCGCUUUGAGAAGGAUAUUAAAUCAAUGUUUUGUUCCAUGUUAGUCUCUCUUGUUGGGUCAAAUUUUUUGUUAUUUGAGUUUGUUGGUUAUUUAGUUUUUUUGGUUUUCAUUGUUAACUUCCAUUUCUUCUAGGGCUUUGUA